rnacentral:rRNA from 1 species
UUGCACGCUGGCGGCAGGCCUAACCCAUGCACGUCGAGCGGAUGAAGGGAGCUUGCUCCUGGAUUCAGCGGCGGACGGGUGAGUAAUGCCUAGGAAUCUGCCUGGUAGUGGGGGAUAACGUCCGGAAACGGGCGCUAAUACCGCAUACGUCCUGAGGGAGAAAGUGGGGGAUCUUCGGACCUCACGCUAUCAGAUGAGCCUAGGUCGGAUUAGCUAGUUGGUGGGGUAAAGGCCUACCAAGGCGACGAUCCGUAACUGGUCUGAGAGGAUGAUCAGUCACACUGGAACUGAGACACGGUCCAGACUCCUACGGGAGGCAGCAGUGGGGAAUAUUGGACAAUGGGCGAAAGCCUGAUCCAGCCAUGCCGCGUGUGUGAAGAAGGUCUUCGGAUUGUAAAGCACUUUAAGUUGGGAGGAAGGGCAGUAAGUUAAUACCUUGCUGUUUUGACGUUACCAACAGAAUAAGCACCGGCUAACUUCGUG